rfam:Phascolarctobacterium sp. CAG:207 genomic scaffold, scf100
CUACCAUAAAGAGUGUGCGAGGGACAGCCCCGUUGACCACACAGCAACCUGCCAAAGGUAAGGUGCUAAAGGCUGAAUGAUGG